rnacentral:rRNA from 1 species
GACAGAGGGUGCAAACGUUGUUCGGAAUUACUGGGCAUAAAGCGCACGUAGGUGGUCCGCUAAGUCGCGUGUGAAAUCCCCCGGCUCAACCGGGGAAUUGCGCGCGAUACUGGCGGGCUAGAGAUCGGGAGGGGUGAGUGGAACUCCAGGUGGAGCGGUGAAAUGCGUAGAUAUCUGGAGGAACACCGGUGGCGAAAGCGACUCACUGGCCCGACACUGACACUGAGGUGCGAAAGCUAGGGUAGCAACGGG